GACGAACGCUGGCGGCGUGCCUAAUACAUGCAAGUUGAGCGCUGAAGGUUGGUACUUGUACCAACUGGAUGAGCAGCGAACGGGUGAGCAACGCGUGGGGAAUCUGCCUUUGAGCGGGGGACAACAUUUGGAAACGAAUGCUAAUACCGCAUAAAAACUUUAAACACAAGUUUUAAGUUUGAAAGAUGCAAUUGCAUCACUCAAAGAUGAUCCCGCGUUGUAUUAGCUAGUUGGUGAGGUAAAGGCUCACCAAGGCGAUGAUACAUAGCCGACCUGAGAGGGUGAUCGGCCACAUUGGGACUGAGACACGGCCCAAACUCCUACGGGAGGCAGCAGUAGGGAAUCUUCGGCAAUAGACGAAAGUCUGACCGAGCAACGCCGCGUGAGUGAAGAAGGUUUUCGGAUCGUAAAACUCUGUUGGUAGAGAAGAACGUUGGUGAGAGUGGAAAGCUCAUCAAGUGACGGUAACUACCCAGAAAGGGACGGCUAACUACGUG
rnacentral:rRNA from 1 species